rnacentral:lncRNA from 1 species
AGUUUCCCAUUCCCAAGUUUCCAUCCCCAUUCCCAGUUCCUGUUCCCAAUUCUCCAUUCCCACAUUUCCAUCCCCAUUCCCAGUUCCCAUUCCCAUUCCCAUUUCCAUUCCCACUUUCCCAUUGCCACUUUCCCAUACCCAUUCCCAGUUUUCCAUCCCCACCUUUCCAUCCCCAUUCCCAGUUUUUCAUCCCCAUCCCCACUCCCCGUCCCCAUUCCCAAUUCCCCAUUCCCACAUUUCCCUCCCCAUUCCCAAUUCCCCAUUCCCACAUCCCCAAUCCCAUCCCCAUUCCCAGUUCCCAUUCCCAAUUCCCCAUUCCCAGUUUUCCAUUCCCAUCCCCAUUCCCAGUCCCCAUUCCCAAUUCCCCAUUCCCACAUUUCCAUCCCCAUUCCCAGUUCCCAUUCCCAAUUCCCCAUUCCCAGCUUACCAUCCCCAUCCCCAUUCCCAGUUUCCCAUUCCCAAGUUUCCAUCCCCAUUCCCAUCCCCAUUCCCAAUUCCCCAUUCCCAAUUCCCCAUUCCCACCUUUCCCUCCCCAUUCCCAAUUCCCCAUUCCCACAUUUCCAUCCCAAAUCCCAUCCCCAUUCCCAUCCCCAUUCCCAGUUUUCCAUCCCCAUCCCCAUUCCCAGUCCCCAUUCCCAAUUCCCCAUUCCCACAUUUCCAUCCCCAUUUCCCGCAGGCAUUCCGGGUGCUGCCGGAGCCGGGCUUGGCGCCAUUGCCAGACCCGCAGGACCCCCAGCAUUCCCAGGACCCCNAUGGGAAUAACGGGAAUAACGGGGAUAACGGGGAUGGGAAUGGUGGGAAUGGGGAUGGGAAUGGGGGAAUGGGAAUGGGGAUGGGAAUGGGAAUGGGAAUGGGAAUGGUGAGAGUGGGAAAUGGGAAUGGGAAUGGGGCUGGGAAUGGUGAGAGUGGGGAAUGGGGAUGGGAAAUGGGGAAUGGGAAUGGUGGGAAUGGGAAUGGGAAUGGUGAGAGUGGGAAAUGGGAAUGGGGAAUGGGAAUGGUGGGAAUGGGAAUGGGGAUGGUGGGAAUGGGAAUGGGGGAAUGGGAAUGGGAAUGGUGGGAAUGGGGAGAAUGGGAAUGGGAAAUGGGAGUGGGAAUGGGAAAUGGGAAUGGGAGUGGGAAUGGUGGGAAUGGGGAAUGGGAAUGGUGGGAAUGGUGGGAAUGGGAAUGGUGGGAAUGGGAAUGGUGGGAAUGGGAGUGGGAAUGGGAAUAUUCCAUGGGGGAAUUCAAUGCGAAUGGGAAUGGGAGUGGAGAUUCAAUGGGAAUGGGAAAUGGAAAUGGGAAUGGUGGGAAUGGGGAUGGGAAUGAGAAUGGGAAUGGGAAUGGGGGAAUGGGAAUGGGAAUGGUGGGAAUGGGGGAAUUCCGUGGGAAUGGUGGGAGUGGGGAUGGGAAUUCCAUGGGAAUGGGAAUGGGAAUGGUGAGAGUGGGAAUGGGGAUGGGAAUGGUGGGAAUGGGGGAAUUCCGUGGGAAUGGUGGAAAUGUUCCAUAAGAAUGGGAACAUUCCAUGGGGGAAUGGGAGUGGAGAUUCCAGGGGAAUGUGAGUGGGAAUGAUGGGAGUGGGAAUGGGAAUGGUGGGAAUGGGAACAGCAAUGGGAAAUUGGGAUGGAAAAGUGGGAAUGGGGAAUGAAGGGAAUGGGGAUGGGAAACGGGAGUGGGCGAAUUCCAGGAAUUCUGGGAAUGAAGGAACAGGGGGUGUGGGAAUUGUGAGAAGGGUGGGAAUUGUGGGAAUGGGGAAAUGUGGGAAUGAGGGAAUGCUGGGAAUGGCAGGAGAAAUCCCUGCCCAGGAUUCCAUGGCAUUCCCUCUUGGGAUUCUUCCCUGGAAUUCCUUCCUGGGUUUUUUUUUCCUGGGAUUCCACCUUGGGAUGUGCAUCCCCCAGUCCAGGAAUCCUGGGAUCUCCA